UACGGGGGGGGCAAGCGUUGUUCGGAAUUAUUGGGCGUAAAGAGCGCGCAGGCGGCUUGGUAAGUCGGAUGUGAAAUCCCGAGGCUCAACCUCGGGUCUGCAUCCGAUACUGCCCGGCUAGAGGUAGGUAGGGGAGAUCGGAAUUCCUGGUGUAGCGGUGAAAUGCGCAGAUAUCAGGAGGAACACCGGUGGCGAAGGCGGAUCUCUGGGCCUUACCUGACGCUCAGGCGCGAAAGCUAGGGGAGCGAACAGG
rnacentral:rRNA from 1 species